rnacentral:rRNA from 1 species
AUGGCUAAGGCACAUGCAUUGGCUGCAGCAUUGUUGCUUGUUAUGUCGGUGUCCCUUGCCGCACUAGAGGGUGUUCAUGGCGUUUGCGGCAUGUCGAAUGAUGAAUUCAAGCUUUGCCAGCCGGCAACGGCAGUGAAUAACCCCACAGACAUGUUGUUGCCGUGGCCUCGUCCUUGCUCUCUCUCGCUGCACCUCCCGCUAGUUCUCUCUGUGACCCAACGAAGAGGAAGGUGA